rnacentral:snoRNA from 1 species
UGAGGUUGCAAUGAUGAUUCACAGCUCCCUCUUCUGAGUUAAAGUUGAGGAAAUCGGCUGGCAGAAUCGAACCUAUGACUUAUUGGCCAUCACUGAGCAA